AGAACUAACUACACUUCAUGUCAUUCCAAGGAUUCAAUUUAACAUUUCAAUGUUACACAAUGCUUAACAGAUAACCCACCUUAAAAAAACAGUUUUGAUUAUACACAUAACUACUAUCUAUAUAACAGGAAAACAUCUAAACUAACAUCAAUUAAAAUACAGGCAGUCCUCAGUUGAUCAAUAAAUGUGUUCGAACAUUUCCUUUCAAACUUUAAUGAGCUUACAUCAAUGGGGUUCAGGGUAGUGUACCUGGUAUUGGAAUACAAGAAGAAGAAGAUCAGCAUAGUAGUAUGUAACCCAGCAACAGCAGCAAUAACCAGCAACAACCAACAGAAAUAACCCAGUAACAGAUUUAAAAGGAACCAGCAGAAUUCUAGCAAUACCAACAACAACACAAACACCUAGUAACCGACCCUAAAGCAGCUUGAUAGCAACCAAAUACCAAUCAAAAACACAAGCAGAAACGCCCCUAGAAUUCAGUAAUCAAGGGAAAACUCGAACAUACAAUUCCACAGUUAAGCUGGAGCUCUUUUCAGUCUCAAUGGAAUAAUACUAGUUGAAUUAGGCUCAUUCUUAAGACUCUUCUAGUUUUUUUAGAAUAUCCAAUACCCUCAAGAUUUUCAGAAUGUUUUUCUCCUCUAAAGUCUGCCUAAAGAGAUGUCAGCCCAGACUCUCCACCAAAAGAUAGAAAGAAACUGAUUUUUAGCUCCCAGAAACCAACCCUUUAACUGUGUAAAAAAAAACUUGUACUGUUUAAACCUCUCAUCUCCAGAUUUUUCUUCGGAAAAUCCCCCCUAAAUCUAUCUUCGAUGACCCUAUUUAUAACCAAACCCUGACCCUAGCCUUCAAGGACACUUAGGCAGAAUUUUUUAAGCUAAUUCUGCCAUGAUCUCUUUUCAAUUCCACUAGAAUAUGUCUUGUUCCCCACUAAACUUCUUUUUAUUUAUUAAUCCCACGCGGGUAUGGGGCAGCCUAUUUUCUAUUCAAAUCCUUUAAACCUUUCCCCCACCAUUAUGUUUUGUUCCCCAUUAGCACUAAAAAAAAUUGCAUUAGUUUAAUGGUACUUUAGUAUUUUACUGACAGCCCACUUAAACUAGCCAAUUUCUGAACUCUUCAAUUCCUAAAUUACCCCUGAAACUACUAUGAUUUACUGUCCUAGCCCAAUCCCUUGUACUUUAUCAGCUAUAACCAAUUUCCUUAAUCAAAAUCAAACAGCAACUCAAACCUCACAGAUUAGAUCAAACAGCAAACUACAACAGCUAUAAUCAAUCCAGCCUACCAAAUUUCUAACAACUAAAUGACUAAGGCUGAAUUCUAACUGGAACCAACAGACUGAACUUGAAUCAAAACAAUAUUAACACCACACAAAACUCAACAGAACCAUUAAAACUGAAACUGAACAUUGAACCAAAAUCAACAUAAAUGCAGGAUCAUUGUCAGCAUAUUGACAAUGCCCUGAAGCUAAUUGCCUAAAGAUCAGCACAUACAACAUUCGACCUUAAAUCAUUUGACGAAACUACUAAUAAAACUUGAAUUAAUUGAUGAUAACUAAUUAACCAAUUGCCUACAACAAUUGACAACAAUCAAUCAGAAAUGGACAAUCAUGCAAUUCAAACGGCAUCGACAAGAACAGGGAUUUAUAAUAAAACUUAACUAAUCGACGAAACUUAUUUGAAUCGAUUACACAGCCUAUAAUUAUACACAACAAAGAACAGAAACAAAUUCGACCAAAUAAAAAGGUUUGAGGGAGAAGAACAGAACAAUCGACAAAACUGAAAAAUUAAUAUAACAAUACUAAACACAUAAAUAGACAUUUAAAACAUCAAAAAUAGAAUAAAAGAAAAAAAAAAGAAAAAUACCUUAAAAUGGAACAAAGAACAGACGGAUUUGAAUAACUCAUACUUGNNNNNNNNNNNNNNNNNNNNNNNNNCUUCGGACAGAAACCAGUUUGUUUUUUCAGGGGUUUUUUACUUUCGAUUUUGGGGGUUCGAGUGUUUCUAGCCAGAUUCAAACCAAACCAACGGUGGUUUGGUGACGAGGGAGGUCAUGGACAUGUCCGGUAUGAGUUUGGGACUGGUUGGGGUAGAUCUAGGUCCUGCUCGAAUCUUCGAUUGAAGAUUCGAGAAGUUGGAGGUUGAUUCGAGGUAAGCAGUCAAUAGAUCCGUAACAAGGGUGGUCAGGGGGUGCCUUGGUGUGAGUUUGGGACUGGUUGGGGUGGGUUUCAAGUUUUGCUCGAAUCUUCGAUUGAAGAUUCGAGAAGCUGCAGGUUGAUUCGAGCAAAACGAGUGAGGGAUUUGGAUUGGGGGUGGUUAGGAGGUUCAGGGGUAUUAUUUUGGUGGCCGGCGGCGUCGUUACCGCUGGGUUUCAGGCGAAGGAAUGCCAUGAUGGCUAGGGUUUGGGGGAAGGGCUUCGUCUCUGAGAGACGAUGAUGAACAGGGGUUUGGACUGGGGGGCUGGGUAUGAGGCUUCAUUUAUAUAGUAGGGGGUGGUUUGAUCUUGGCCGUUCAAUCAAGAGAGAUCGAGGGUCCAGAUCAGUUCACUUAACUCAAACGGUGUCGUUUGGAGUAGUACUAGGGCGGUCCGUGUAUUGGAGUGACGGGUCGGGGGUUGGGUUUGGUCAAAGCUUUGGGACCGUUUGAUCAGCUGAGAUCAACGGUCCAGAUUGAAACGCCUGAAACAGCGUCGUUUGGUUGAGUCGCAGGUGGACUGGAUUUGGGGCAGGUAUGGGCUGGUUUUUGGCCAGGUUUGGCUGUAAGGAUUUGGGCUUGGCCAAAUUGGGCCAACUGAAUUUUCCUCUUCUUAUUAUUUUUUCAAUUUUUUCUUUUCAACAAUAAAACUAAAAAUCCUAAUUAAAUUAUAAAAUUGGCAAUUAACUAAAAAUAUUGACACUUAAUAAUAACUAUCACACGAAAUUAAACAUCAAUAACGAUAAAAAUCACACAAUUCGGACAUUAAAUGCGAAAGAUGCAAAGUACAUAUUUUUUGUGAUUUUCCCAUUUUGUAAAACAAACUUGCUAAUUCCUAAAUUGUAAAAUUAAAUCCUAAAUGCACAUGCACCACAUAUUUUUUUGUAUUUUUCUUAAUUAAAGAAGAAAUAAACUUGCACAGACAAAAAUACAAAAUAAAUCACUAACAACACCAAACCAUUUUAUUUUGAAUUUUUGGGAGUAGUUCUCAUAGUGCAAAAAUCACGUGCUCACAUCCAUAACAAAGAAAAUGAUCCACAACUCCAAUUAUUCUUAAUUGGCAACUUUAUUCACUAGUUCAUGUCUAGUUCAUCCAUUUAACUCAACCGAUGUCAAUAUAACCUUAAGAACUUGUUGGAACACAAUAUAAUUACCUCCUACAGUAGAUUCAAGUCGAAAUCCAUGUUAUAUUUAGCUUACAAUAGCCCAACAUACCCCAAUCAAUUCAUACCAAAAACAACGACUAUAGUAGUGUCCAACACCCCGAAAGUAUUAUAAAGAAUGACUAAUCCAUUAUUUCACCAAUAUGUGGUGUUUCUCCACACCAUUUAUCCUCCAAAAACUCCAUUAAAUAGCAGCAAAAUAUACAGCUCAAAAGCUACACGAAACAACCCAUAAAAUAGUCCAUUACAAAUCAAAUAACUCGAACUCACGGCUUCCGAUCACCGUCCCGUGAGUUCUAAAUAUUAUGAAAUGAAUUAAUCGACCUUGAUAUUUAAGAUCUUGAAACCAACAAUUAGGCAUUUUUAUUAACUUCAAACUACCUUCCAAAACUCAAACUACAAAGAAAAAGAGAGGUUAUAUAGCAAUACUUACGUCGUGAGGAUCGUUCUUGUGUUAUUGCUUCGUGAUUUCGUGCCUCGGAUGAUAGUAUCGUUGAAAAUCCUUAUGGAGGACUUGAGGAUGAGUUUAGGGGUGUUAUAUGGUCGAGCUCUCUG
rnacentral:lncRNA from 1 species